CCCGGGUUCUUGUACACACCGCCGUCACACCACGAAAGUCGGCAACACCUCGAAGCCGCUGAGCCAACCGUAAGGGGGCAGGCGUCGAGGGUAGGGGUCGGUGAUUGGGUG
rnacentral:rRNA from 1 species